rnacentral:lncRNA from 1 species
CUUUAAUUUUGGACUCUUUGGACCUUAAUGUAGACCAAUUGGAAAACCGGACCAAAAAUUAAGAAUCAAAAUACACGGUUAGAUUUGGCAUAUCAAAGAACCCCAAUAGUUCAUUUUAGAUGAAAUCAAACAAAGUUUAAUUUUGGACCCUUUUGACCCCUAAUUCCUAAGCUGUUGGGACCAAAACUCCCACAAUUAAUCCCAACCUUCCUUUUGUGGUCAUUAACCUUGUGUUAAAUUUCAUAGAUUUCUGUUUACUUAUACUAAAGUUAUUGAACAAAACCCAAGAAAAAUGCCUAUUUGGGACCUUUUUUUGACCCCUAAUUCCUAAACAUUUGGGACCAAAACUCCCAAAAUCAAUCCCAACCUUUCUUUUGUGAUCAUAAACCUUAUAUUAAAAUUUCAUAGAUUUCUGUUUACUUAUACUAAAGUUAUUGUGCGAAAACCAAAAAAAAUGCUUAUUUGGGCCUUUU